AUCAACUCGGUUCCCCUGUCAAUUAGCCUUCACCGCCCACUGGCCCCACUCCAUGCUCCCAAGAUAGAAACACCGAAGAUUGCAAGAUUGUAACUUUUUUGUAUCGAAUGAGAAAGAAAAGGAAGAUCAUGGGACAUAGCGAGAAGGGUCGGCCAAACACGAAACUCAAAUCCUCUGUGAAGCACAAUGAUUUUCAGAGAGGUCGUGGAAGAUGAGGAUGUUUAUUUCGGUGAAGAAGCUGAGGAUGGUUUCCGUGACGUGUUCUCAUGGAAGUGAUGGCUUUCAAUCAGCAAAGCUGCUGGCAAAAUUGGAACCAGUGAUGAGUUGUUAAAUGAAGCAGGAUUAGCAGCUGAAGCUGAAGAAAAGGAAACCCACUCAUUUGAAAUCGGCCCAUCUCAGAAAAUAUUCAAACUUUAUCAUGCUAUUUGACCUUUUGAAGAACAGAAUUGAACACCAGUUGGCUCCAUCAUCACAAGUGCAGGGUGCUUAUGAUCAUGUAUUAUAAUCAUUCUUUGUUUCACUGCUCUCCCCAUUAAGAAAAAGCAAAUGCAAAGCUGUGGAUUGACAAGAUUCGAUCUCCUUAGUUUCGUUGAGAUAGAUACCCAUUGUUUCUCUCUUUUCUUGAUUGAGUUGUCUGUUAUAGGCUUGUAUAUGUAGAAACUUGUAAGGUCUUUCUUGACUGAGAAAUGCUCACAUCUUUUUAAUAUUGCUGAAAGGUUAUGACUCUGCAUAUUUAGUGCUAAAAUAUGCAAGUUUUUUAAUCAUGGCAUCUUUCUAUACAAUAAUGCCAUGAUCCCUUCCUUGCUAUGAUUGGAGAAAGAAAAUAUUUAAAUAGACAUGAAUUGGUACUCUAAAUCUCCAAUAUGCUAAUCAUUUCAGAAUUUACAUAGAAUUGGUAGCAAUUGCAUCACGCAGAUUUGGGUUGAAUGUACUUAAAUAUUGUGUUUCAUUGAAGAACCUU